rnacentral:rRNA from 1 species
UCGAGGAUCUUCGGCAAUGCGCGCAAGCGCGACCGAGCGACGCCGCGUGGGCGACGAAGGCCUUCGGGUUGUAAAGCCCUGUCGAGGGGGAGGAAGGGGCAACCUUGACCUAUCCCUGGAGGAAGCUCGGGCUAAGUUCGUGCCAGCAGCCGCGGUAAGACGAACCGAGCGAACGUUGUUCGGAAUCACUGGGCUUAAAGGGCGCGUAGGCGGGCUGCCGAGUCCGGGGUGAAAGCCCCCCGCUCAACGGGGGAACGGCCUCGGAUACUGGCGGUCUGGAGGCGGGUAGGGGCAAGCGGAACUGUGGGUGGAGCGGUGAAAUGCGUUGAGAUCCACAGGAACUCCGGUGGCGAAGGCGGCUUGCUGGACCCGAACUGACGCUGAGGCGCGAAAGCCAGGGGAGCGAACGG